rnacentral:rRNA from 1 species
CAGUCGCCGCGGUAAUACGUAGGUGGCAAGCGUUGUCCGGAAUUAUUGGGCGUAAAGCGCGCGCAGGCGGAUCAGUCAGUCUGUCUUAAAAGUUCGGGGCUUAACCCCGUGAUGGGAUGGAAACUGCUGAUCUAGAGUAUCGGAGAGGAAAGUGGAAUUCCUAGUGUAGCGGUGAAAUGCGUAGAUAUUAGGAAGAACACCAGUGGCGAAGGCGACUUUCUGGACGAAAACUGACGCUGAGGCGCGAAAGCCAGGGGAGCGAACGGGAUUAGAUACCCGUGUAGUCCCUGUCUCUUAUACA